ACAAAGUUGCUGCAGUUAAAAGCUCGUAGUUGGAUUUCGGGUGGGUUCUAGCGGUCCGCCUAUGGUGAGUACUGCUAUGGCCUUCCUUUCUGUCGGGGACGGGCUUCUGGGCUUCACUGUCCGGGACUCGGAGUCGACGUGGUUACUUUGAGUAAAUUAGAGUGUUCAAAGCAGGCUUACGCCCUGAAUACUUUAGCAUGGAAUAACACGAUAGGACUCUGGCCUAUCUUGUUGGUCUGUAGGACUGGAGUAAUGAUUAAGAGGGACAGUCGGGGGCAUUCGUAUUUCAUUGUCAGAGGUGAAAUUCUUGGAUUUAUGAAAGACGAACUACUGCGAAAGCAUUUGCCAAGGAUGUUUUCAUUAAUCAAGAACGAAAGUUGGGGGCUCGAAGA
rnacentral:rRNA from 1 species